CCUACGGGGGGCAGCAGUGGGGAAUAUUGCACAAUGGGCGAAAGCCUGAUGCAGCGACGCCGCGUGAGGGAUGACGGCCUUCGGGUUGUAAACCUCUUUCAGCAGGGAAGAAGCGAAAGUGACGGUACCUGCAGAAGAAGCACCGGCUAACUACGUGCCAGCAGCCGCGGUAAUACGUAGGGUGCAAGCGUUGUCCGGAAUUAUUGGGCGUAAAGAGCUCGUAGGCGGUGUGUCGCGUCUGCUGUGAAAACUCAGGGCUCAACUCUGAGCUUGCAGUGGGUACGGGCACACUUGAGUGCGGUAGGGGAGACUGGAAUUCCUGGUGUAGCGGUGAAAUGCGCAGAUAUCAGGAGGAACACCGGUGGCGAAGGCGGGUCUCUGGGCCGUAACUGACGCUGAGGAGCGAAAGCAUGGGGAGCGAACAGGAUUAGA
rnacentral:rRNA from 1 species